UUCUUCAAGAGAUACUGUGAUAUGCUUGGAAUUGGUUAUGGCAACAACCUUGACUGCAACUCACAGACUCCAUUUGGAAAUUCACUCUCACUCUCUGACCAGUGAGACUCCCAUCCCAUCAGAAUAAAUAAAUAAACUCAAUAAAUCUGUGUUUCCACAACUUUCCCACCAUCUAUCAAUAACACUCCUAGUUUCCCACCAUCUAUCAAUAAAUUCAUCACUUCUAUAUACCAUAUGCACACCAACAUGCUACUCUUUUAUUAUUAUUUUUUUCCCAUUCAUCUACGUACAAAUAUUAUAGUUAUUAUAUAAUAAAACUAUGUUGUGGAAGAAUGUGAUGAAUGCAUAAUAAAUGAUAAGAAAACAUGACUGCAUGGAUCAAAUAUUGUAAUGAGCACGGCAAGGCGAGGGAGGAUUCAACCUGCAUUGGAGUAUGUUUCUAUCAACGGCAAGACUUCCCAGACCCCUAACUUUCCCACCCAAAAUAUUUAAUCUAACUAUUCUUUUUUUUAUUUUAUCUUUAAACUUAAUAUAUAUUUAACCACUUUACACACAAUUUUAACAGUGUUUGAAUUUAAUGAUUUACUCUUUGUAAUUAAAGGAUAAGGAGAAGAGAAAGUUUAGAAAUCUAUGCAUUGGAAAAUGUAAAAACACAUAAAUCUGAUUUUAUCUUUCUUCUACCAAAAUUCAAAGAAAAACAUUGAUGAGUGUUUGCCUUGAUAGUGUUAGAUAAGAAAAUAAAAAUAAAAUAGUGUUAAAAAAAUAAAAAUGUAAAUAGUAUUAUAUAAAGAAUUGAGUACACAAAUUUUUAUCCUUAAAUUUCAAUAUAUAUUUUUCAUAUAUAAUAGUAUAUAAAAAAUUCUCCCAUUUUAUAUUUAUAUAUUUUUAAUUAUAUUUUAAAAUAAAUUAUCAAAUUAUUAAGAACAACUGUUCACACAUAUUUAAAUAGCACAACACAUUAUAAACCAUUCACAUAUUUUUGUAAUUAUCCACUAUUCUUCUAUAUAAUUGUCAUUAUUAAUAUUGCUAUUUUUCUUAGAAUAUAUAAUUUCUCAUUGAUUUAGACGACAUGCAAAUGAGUAAACACUAUGACAUGCAAUACUAACAUUUUUUUAACACUUCAAAAUAAAGGUUUUGUAAACAUGAUUUAACAUUUAACGACAUGCAUUCUCUUCCCUUCCUAAAUGGAUAUUCUAGAGGUGAUGCUUAAUAAUUUCUUAUGAUUUGUUCCGGAACAUCUCGUAAUGAAAUUUAUGAUUAUGGAACAGCUAUAUAAAACAAUUUAAAAUGAAUGUUCUAAAAUUAUUUUUUGGUAGAUUACGGCAAGGUGUUUGAUGAAGAGCGACAAGACUGAACAGGCUCUUGUUCAAGGCAGAUUUCCUUCUGGGUGCUCUGUGUUUUAUUUAUUAUGUUGAACUGUUUAAAUAUCCCAACUCAUCCUCUUUUCUUUCUGAAUCGGAUUCCCUUAUUCAAUCUUCAUGACGGUGUUGUAAAUGUGGUUCAGCUUCAGGAGACCUCUUGGAGUCCAACAACAUUAAGCUAUUUUUUUUUUCUUAAGUAGCGUUUCACCCACAACAGUUGGCAACUUUCUUAGCGGUCAAGUUGUUAGACGUAAAAUCAUUCAGGUACUUUCAUCAAACAGUUUUAUCUUUAACAAUAGUUGAUUUCAUCUCAGUUCAUAACACAAGUUGGUCUUUCCCAUCGCCAUCAUCCAGAGCAAUCAAGAUAGAAAGGAGUGAAUCCACUUGAUCGUCGUUCACUAUCAAAACUAUCUUUCAUGUAUAUAGUGUUUGCAUUUACAUCCUGCAUCCAAUCUGAGAUGCGCAUGCCAAAAUUUACCAGUUGGAUUGUGUGAAUGCAUACCAUACCAGUUUGUGUAAGGAGAAUAAAGUCACACUAAUAACCAACAUUUUACUAGAUCUAUACUAUUUUGAAACUUUCAUUACAUUCCACUGGAAUUGCCAGAAUACGUUUUCUUCAAAUUCCGACCCUUUUAUCCUGUGAUUUCUGAUGUACUAGAAUGUUGACCCGUGGAAUAUUUUAAAUAUUUAAUAUUUAAAAUAAUAAAUCUAUACAUCAAAAUUAAGAAUGAUUGUAGGGUCAAUUAAAAUUAUAAAUCAAAAUUACCUCACUUAUUCAAUUAUUAGUAAAUAAUUAAGAAUACAUCAAAUAGAUCAAUUAUUUAAUUAUUAGUAAACAAUUAAGAAUACAUAAAAAAAAAUUAUGACCCAAAUUACAAAUAACAUCUUGUAUUAUAUUUAUUGUCAUAACAAAGUACAAAUAUAUUGAGAUUCAUCUUUUCUCAAAUUUAAAAAGCAAGACAUGUUUGAUCCAUAAAUAGUACAUUUUUGUUGUGAAACAUUGAGUUUGAGCAUUUUCUUGUUCAUCAAAUUGGCAAGGAAUGUUUUGUACCUGUAAAAAAUAAAGCAUACAGAAUCUUUUAGAUACAAUAUCCAUGAGGUAAUAAUAAAUAAAAUAAUUUUUUAAAUCAUAUAUUCAUGUAGCUGCCUUAUACAUGUUAACCACAUAGAAAAUGGUAAACACAUGGUUCCAAAAACAGCAAGCCAUAACUUAAAUGUAUACGCCUACAUGUAUGAAUAAUAUUGUAAAAUCACUGUAUUCUGUUUCAUAUUAUUAAAUAAAGACUAUUGACAUAGUAAAUUGUCACCUAACGAUAUAUCUCAUGAAUUAUAGGAAAUACUAUUAUAGAAUAAAUAUCAACUUCAUCAUUUUAGACCAAGUCUAUUUAAGGCUCAAUCAUACAACAAUUUUUCAACAAUUUCAUGGGAAAUGCAAAAUAAAUUCCAUAACAAAAGAAGUAAGAUGUAUUGUUAAGUUCAAAGCUUUAUAACAGAAAAUAUACUCAGUAAAAGAACUAAACAUACUAAAAACAAUACAAAAUGGACUACAUAGUUGCUUUUCUUUAGGUGCUAUAAUAUGAGCGUUGAUCAAUAUUGUAUUUAAUGUCAACAGAUCUCAAUUUGCAUCUUAUGUUAAUUGCAUCAUUGCAAAAAAUAAUAAAUAAAAGAGAAAUGUCAAUAUAAGAAUGGACAAUUAAUACAAUCAUGGAAAUAUUGAAAAUUGUUAACAAUGAUUGAGUACCUGUCAUAGGUUUUGUCUUGGUAGUUUAAAGGAAUGUACUGCUGAAGUUAAUAGUUACGAAACAAAUAAGAUAGAAUAAUAUGAUACAAUAAAUUUAAUUAGCAAAAGUUCUAUUGGUUUUUGGUGACUAUGUUGCUUGUUUUUGUAAACAAAGAACCAUAUAACUAUCUGAAUACAGCUGAAGUUUGAUCACUUUAUUUAGGAAGCAUUAUGUAACAUCACAUAUGUAAAAUAUUAUAAUAUAGAACCUGUGUAAAGUAUAAUAGCUUCCUAUUUUUUGUACUGAAUAUCCCCUUCUUUCUCACUAAGUACAAUGGAGUUCUUGUAUUAAAACCCUCCCAAAGAAACAAAUUCAUCAAAACAGAAUUAUUCACAAUUUAAAUUAUGAAAUUUAUUAAGAAGUUAUAGAUGAAUACCUUUCUUUGUAAUGCAUUAUAGUCAUGUUGAAAAAUUUACUAUGGAAAUUAAGAGGAAACCUGUAAAUACAAAAAAAAAAAAUAUUGGUUUCUUUUUGCUAUAUUAGAAGAUAUAUUAGAAGAAAGAUAUGAGAAAUAUAAAUAGUUUGGGAUUAAAGAAUUUUCAUACCUGAUAAGUAUGGAUGUAACAAUAUUUUUCAAACAUUUUCAAAUAUUUCUCUGUAAACCACAUUAGUAGUCGAAUUAGUGGUAUUUCCAUCAUCAUCCAAAAUCAAUAUUUUCAACCCUUUCUUGGAUUUUACUCUGGAAACAACAACAUAUAAUUGUCCAUGUGUAAACACUGGAUGUGGUAAAUAUAGACCAACUUUAUUAAGUGUUUGUCCUUGGCUUUUGUUUAUUGUCAUAGCAAAGCACAAAGAUAUUGGGAAUUGUCUUCUCUGGAACGUAAAAGGCAAGCCUGAUUCAGAAGGAGUCAAAUUCAUUCUAGGAAUUAAUAUGUUAUCGCCAAUAUUUUUUCCGGUAAUAACUUUGGCAGCAAUAACAUUUUUCCCCAAGUGAAUUACUUGUAAUCUGGUUCCAUUGCAAAGUCCAUUGGCUUUAUCAAUGUUCCUUAGAAGCAUUAUUGGAACUCCAACUUUUAAUUUAAGACUGUGAUUAGGAAUUCCGGAACAUUUGAUAUUAUUCAAAAAUUCAGUUGUAAACCACUCAACUUGAGCAUUUUCUUGUUGAUCAGAUUGGCAAAGGGAGUCUGAACUUAAAUAAGUAAUUUCUUCUCCGGGGAUUAAUGUUAGAAUGAAGUCAUUCACUUGGUCCACACAUUCUGUAGUAGGACACAAUAUUGCACCAUCAUCAAAAAAUCCAUCAGAGUUCAGAUUUUGCAUGUACCCUGGAUAAACAAAUUCAACCAAGUGCAAUAAAGGUUGUUCAACAUUUAGAAUUAGAAUGUCUUGUGGUAUUUCAAUAGUUUCUUGUCCCAACUCAUUUAAGUCCAUAUCUCCAUCUCCAAUGUGAAGUAUCCAAUCUGCAAAAUCUUUUACUUCUGAUGCAGUUUGCUUUGAUCUUUCACUGUUUAAUCUCAUAUUUUCUGUAAGUUUGAAGACUUUGCAAUGUUUCCAAAAUUCUGAGUAGUUCACUAUUGCCUUCACAAUGUCAUAUCUUGAUCCCUUUUUUACAACAGACAAUAUCUGCCUAAAAUUACCUCCCAAGACAAUGACUUUGCCACCAAAAGGUUUAAGAGCAUUUUCUUCACUUACAACCUUCAUGACAUCCCUUAUAGUUCUAUCGAGAGCUUCAAAACAGAACCUAUUGAUCAUUGGAGCUUCAUCCCAUAUAAUUAAUUUAGUUUCAAUCAACAAUUUGGCACGAAAAAUUCCUUGAGGUAUGUUGCAGGUUGAAUGUUCAUUUAUUAACAAAGGAAUGCAAAAUGUAGAAUGAGCUGUUUUUCCUCCAGGUAGUAACAAAGAAGCUAUACCGCUAGAAGCUACAUUUAUCACAAUCAACCCUUUUGAUCUAAUUGCAACAGACAAAGUUUUCCACAUAAAGGUUUUUCCUGUGCCACCAUACCCGUAUAGGAAAAAUAAAAUUGCCAACUUGUGACAGUACUGUUGUCAUUAUAUUCUCAUACACAACCAGUUGCUCCGCAGUUAGAGAUUGAAAAAGAGAAGAAUGAAUUUCAGACAUUUGUAUCUUGUCAUAAUUUAAUUCAUCAAUAAUGAAUCUAUUCUCAUAAAUAAAAGAAUCUGAAUGAAUAGGUUGUGGAAGACUGUUAAAGUCUUUUAAAGAUUUACCAUUACAAAUCAAUAAGUCUUCUAGUUGUAGAAGACAAAGGUUUUGUAUUUGAUCAUCUUCAAUUGUAAGACCUAGCAAAACAACAACAUUUCAUAUCUUGAACAAAAUAAUAUGUUAUAAAGUUUGAGGAAAACAAAAAGUUAUACCUGGUAGGUUAAACUCUUUUCUAUUUUGGUAUACAAUGUCAUCAGAUAACAAUUUCCAAGUUUUGUUCCAAACUUCCUCAGGUCUAGACAUAGUAUUCAUGAGUAGCAGUGUAACAAACAAUCUUCUCAACUGAGUUCCUGAAGCAAGGUUGCUGGCCUCUAUAAUGGCAUCAAUAAAUUCUAUAUCCUCUGCCAAUAGCCCCAUGGCAUAGCAAUCCUCUUUAUACGUUUUGUAAAUUACACCAUUAAUAGUCCUGAUGUUAUCAUAAUUACAACAACACUUUUUAAAAUUCAACAAUAACCUGAGAUAAUAUAAUUCCCCUAAGCCAGGAGGAAUAUAUGUAAGCCUUCCAAUACUAACUCCCCUCUUCCUUGGUUUCCAUUCUCUUUGUUCUGCCAUCCACACAAAAUGGUUAGGGUAUUCAGAAUAAGUCAAAUUUUUCCCCUAUGGAUAGAUUUUAUUAGCUUCAAACCAAGCUAAAAGCAUUUUUCUUUUAUGUUCAUUUGUAUGCAGUAUUUCAUCAAUAUAUUCAUUGUCUUUAAAUAGAAUGGGUUGCUCGUAUAACAGAUGAAAAGUCAACCUUUGAACUGGAGGCCAUCUAUGAUGAAUGUCAAAGGCAAAUAUUCUCCACACAGCUUCACAGGGAGAUAUAUAUCUACAAUCAUAAUAUUGUUUAAUUUCAUCUAUAACUGGUGUCUCAGUAGAGUCUUUCUGAGAAUUAGUAAUUUUCAAAUUUGCUCUAUCUGAACCUUUGUUGACAUAUUUAAACAAAUACUUGAUUGAAUUAGAUUUGUUGCAAUAUUCUGUGUUAACAUGAGCCUGGUACCUCAGUAGUAGUAAUGGGCUAUAUGGGACAACAUUUCUAUUGUUUAACUUAAUUCCAUUUUAAGAAUGAAUACUCCUUCAUCUCGACGUCUGUAGCAUGGAUAUCCAUCCUCAUCAAAAGUAGUCAACAAUUUAAAUUUCUUUGGGUAAAAUUUUGAACAUGUACCGUUAGUCAUGCAAGGUGAGGAAAACCAAGCGGCUCCGCAUGGACCAUGUAUCAUGUAUGUUGCAACUGCCUUUGACAAUUUAGGAUAUAAAUUUGCGUGCGGUAAUUCUGCUGAAAUUACAUCAUCAAUGUCUGUUGGAGUUCUUAACUUUUUCUCUCCAUCCAACCACAAUAAUAUGUGGGCAUGAGGCAAACCCCUUUUUUGAAAUUCCACAAUGUACAUACCUAUAAUAAGAUAUAAAUUGAUUGAAUUAUAAUGCAUAAAAGUUGAACGAAAUUUUAAAAUAUGGAUUACUGUCAUUACCUGCAUUAACUUUGCCAAAAUAUUCAUCUUUUUUUAAGUCAACCAUCAUUUGAUCUAAUUUCAUCUUGAAUACUCUGCAAACUAUGUCUGGCCUAUCAGCAGCAGUUAAUCCUCUUGAUGUAACAAACUCACGUAUUUCAGACUAGUUUACAUUGCAAGUAAUAGUGAUGAAUAAAUCACGAUAUCCAAACCUUUUACAAAUUGCCAUUGCAUCUUGGCAAUUGUUGAACAUGUACCUCAUUCCUCCUGUAAAUGAUGCAGGUAAAACUAUACGCUUCCCAACUGCAGAAGAAUUUGUUUCUCCUCUAUUCAUUGCCUCUUGUACACCGUGGAGAAUAUCACAACGUAUUGUUGUUUGGUUUCCUCUUAUGAACGACAAUCUUUGAGCUUCAACCAUAGUAUAUGCAUCAACCAAGAAUUGUUGAAACAAUCGACGUGAAUGGACUAUAUUUCCAAACUCAACACUUCUUUCUUGAAUUCUAAAUGCAAUGAAUUCUCUUAACGAUAUACGAUUUCUUUUGCGUUCUUUGCUAUUACUUCCAGAAUUACGUAUGGGAAUAUCUUCUUGAUACCCAUCUUCUCCAAAGGGGAAUAUUAAAGGAUAUUGUAAUGUGAUGAAGGCUGUAUGUGUCCCAUGCAACCUAAACAAUUGUCCAGAAACUUUUUUCACUAUGAUAUCUCGUCCUACAUCCAUGUUGCUCAUAUCACCCACAAUUAACGUUGCUAUCUCAUCAGUUGUAGGGGUAUUGAAUCGAUGUCUAAAUAACCUCAAUGCAAAAUUUGAAUGUUCAAGAUCUUGAAUCAAUGAUGUAUCAAACUUCAACUCUUUCAAAUUGGACCUACAUAAAAUUUAAAUAAAUAAUUAAUUCAAAAUGAUUUUAUAAAUGAAUUUGCUGAAAAUAAUCUAACCUAAUGUAACACAUACCUAAAGUGAGAUACUCUGUUUGAGACUUCAUUUUGAGUAUCAUAUAUGUAAAGUUGUGCGAACUUGGGCGUUUCUCCACUGUCAGGGAGUAAGUUUCCAAUGCUAUGAUAGUUUUUUCCAUGCAGAAUAAAUUGAGGAGGCCCAAACCCAUCAUUUACAGAAGAGUGAACUUUUCCUUCAAUUGAAGUAAAUGAAAACAUACCAUUGUAACUUCUUAUAUGUUGUAAAUAGUGUUGGCUUUGUGGAUCUUGACCAUUUAAUAACUCUAGCAUCAAUUUAGGAGGUUGUUGUAGGAAAGGUAGUUGUACUUUUCCUUUUUGGAAACAUAUAGAAAAAUCAACCUUUAGGCAAGUCUUUGCUUUCAGGGAUCUUUCUUCAUACCACACCUCGGCCAAACAAUAUUCACAUUGAAUAUUAGGUUGUCCAAAUGAAACAAUAUCUAUAUUGAAAUGAUAAAUAAGGUUAUAUAUUACCUUUACAUUAAUGCAUUUAAUUUGAAUACAAAAGUUAAGGUAAGAGACAUGCACCUUCAUUUUCAGCUUUUGAAUACAAUUCAUAAGUGUAAACUUCUAUGCUCUCAUCUGAACUCUGCAACGGCGACGGAAACGAAAACUCACCCUGCAACAACGACGACGGAAACGACAACUCACCUGCAGCAACAACGACGACAACGACAACACACCUGCAGAAACGACGACGACAACGCACCUGCAGAAAUGACAACGACAACGACAACGACAAUGGCAAUGCACCCUGCAGCGACAACGACAACGACGACAACACACUCUGCAACGACAACGUCCUCUGCAAUGGCGACGACAACACAUUCUACAACAAUGUGCUUCUCUGCUUCGAAGGAGGCCAACCUUUUCAAGUUUUAUCAUCGUAAGUUUUGAUUCGUGAUCCAUUCUUGCCUUUGCUCACUCUGUAUCUUUCCCAUCUUAAAACCCUAGAUUCUGUUAUUUGUAUUCCUUCAUUUAAUUGCUAGUUGUGUGUUGUUUGGCUUCUCUUUUAAUCAAUCUGAUAUAUUGAAUUUAAUUAAAUAGCACCACACAAAGUAUAAUCCUCAUAUGUCAUUAUUCUUCUACUACCACUGGUCGUCACUUCAAAGUGAGUUCAAACAAACUGUGCUAAAAUAUGAGUUUCGGUGCUAUAGUUGGUACUUAGAAUUAUGAUAAUAUAGUCCAGAGUAUCCAGUGACUGAAUGUAGAUGAUAGACACACAUGCAGACAGGGACAAUCACAGAUUAUAUUGUUCAACACUUUGCAUUUUGCAUUUGCAUAGCCAUAAAUAUUACGCAAAGAAAGAAAAGAGAAAGGAAGAGGGAAACACACACAGUGGAAAGAUAAACUCACACUAUGGAUUUCUUUUUAGUCUACAUACUAAUAUUUUUUACUUAUUGAUGAUUAAACCUCUGUUAAAGAACAUGGUUGUUAAAAAGUUUGAUUCCAAAAGUGUGUUCAAGGAACUUGUGUUCAAAUUCAACUUAGCCACUGUCAUAUAUAGUAAACUUUGUUUAAGCAAUAAAAGAAAUGUUUGAAACUAUUGAAGUCAAGAAAUAUUUUCUACUAUGAAAUGUUUGUAUGAUUAUGAAAAUAUAUUUUGUUUUAAAUAGAAAAGUUGUAAGAAAGAGUAUCAAGUUGGUUUUUAUUUUUGUUUGAGGGGUCAGUGAUACUUAACACUGCUAUGUGUUGCUGUUUUUGGGGUUUCACCCAAAGGGCUGCCUUUUUCCUUUUCAGACCACCUACAAACAGAUACUACCUAACAAGAAGGGUGAGCAUCAACUUCUUUAGAGUGAAGCCAGAUUCCAGUUGAAUCACACUUGGGAGAGUCUACCUCUGAACCCAGUAUAGCUGUUGAAGGGUAGGUAUGAGUUGAGUCUUGAAGCUGCCUUUGGGUUUAAAGAGAUGUGAAUGGAUUUCGUGCCUCAAUUAUUUAAUUUAAACUGUGGAGUAUUUAAUUUUGUUGUACAAACAAGCCCAGGGGUGCUAGAAGAGUUUGUUUAAUUCAUUUUUUUACUCACAUUUUCCCUUUUACUUGCUUUUCUAGAUAGAUAACUUAGAAUUUAGUACUCACGAUAGUUUAUUGUGGGUUCCAAUCAGCUUAAGGGAUUUGGACAAGUAUAGCUUCCAAAUUCGAAGAAUGUAAAUUAUACUACCGUACCGAUAGAAUUUUAUAAGAAUGAUCACUUAUAUUUUCAUUUUAAAGGUUUAAUUUGAGUCUGACUGUCUACUGGCUGCUUCAAGACAUGUAAUUAUUAAGCCGUUUUAUAUAACACUUAAAAUAUGGUUUUAUCUGGGGAAUUUUUCCUAUCUUUAUAUGCUUUGUUGUCCUAAUUGAUAGUCCAUGUGUGACAUUGACAGGUCUUCCUCCUUUUGGGCAAAGCCUUCAUGUUUGUGGGUUUUGUAUGGUUUUAAAUACUAUUGUUUUUUAUGUGUGCUUCAUAUUACAUCUCCAUGCAUUCUGCUUUUGGAGGUUUUCUAUAGGAAUAAUUAUGUUGUUUUGACAACUUCUAGAAAAUCUGAUGUAGGUGUCAAAGCAUCUCAUGAAGACGGUUUCUCAGCUGGGCACUGGAAAUAAGCCUGUUGGUACUACAACUUAUAUGGCUCGAAUGGAACAACUGAUGUAAUACCACUCUGAUGUUAAAAAUGGGUAUAGUGAAAUUGGAGAUUAUGCCUAGUCUAACCAGAUCAUUUUCAUGAUAUCCAAAUCAAAUAUGGCUUUAUUUAAUAUUUCUAGUACUAACUAUGAGUUGUAAUAUUAUGCUUGUUUUAUUCCCUGCACCUGAGGAUUGGUUGAAGCCUAAUGUUGUGUUGGAAGCAUUUGAAGCCAGGGCUGCUAGGAUGUGUGUUGCUUGUGCUCAAAAUCUUAGCGAGUUCUCUAAUCCUGAAGAGAGUAAAUGAUUCAAUCUAGAAGCCUAAUGUUUGUAUUAUUAUAUUCUUAAUAUUACCUAAAAACUAUUUUAUUUGAUAUAAUAUAAGAAAUCAUUUUUUUAGUAAUAAUUCAUCCUUUGUAUAUGUUUCAAGGUAUCAUAUAUAUUUGUUUACCAUAGCUUAAUUUAUUUCUAAUGAUUUGUCUAUAAAAAGGAGCUAAAACAUAUUGGAAUCUGAAUUCAUCUUCUUGAAUGAGUGUAAAUAAAAUGUUUGAGAUACUUUUAAGUAAAAUUAUCACAUUUGUUGUGACAAACAGCUUCGAAAACUUUUACUGACUAAUUUUUCUAGUUUUUAUUUUUUUUCUUAAACCUAAUAAGCGGUUCCAAAGUUAGUUGUCUGUUUAUAAAAUUUGCAUGAGAAACAUAAAAUUAAUAUUUAUAUUUACUAAAAUAGAAAGAUAAAGUACAAAUAUAGAACAAUGAAAAUUCCUCUUGAAAUAAAAUGCAUCUAACAAAUUUGAGAAAUAGUUUUAUUUUUACACGGACAAAAGGAAUAUAUCAUGAGCUACGAAAAUAAAAUAAUUUCAACUUGGGUUUAUUGGAUUAUCUUUUGUUUCUAUCACAAUCUUAGUUCACAUUCAUAAUUUAUAAAAAAAAAUUAUAAAAAUUGAAAAAAAUUACUCACUUUUAACCAUAUCUCGAUUAUGAACAUAAUUGUUUUGAGUUGACAAACUCUAUAAAUUUAUUUUAAAAUUAAUAAACUUAAAUCUACAAAUAAAUAUAAAAUAUGAAAAAGUAAGUAGGUAAAUAAAAUAAUAUUUUAUAAUAAAUUAUAUUAUUUUGAAACCAAUAUAAUGACCAGUUUUUGGGUAUUUAUAUAUUUGGUCAUUAAAUGAACUUCUAUAUAUUUUGGUCACUAAAUUAGUUUUAAUGAAAUUGGUUGUUAAUUUAGUUUCUAUAUAAUUGGUUACUAAAUUAGUUUCUAUAUAUUUAGUUACUAAAUUGGUUUUUAUUUAAUGGUAACUAAAUUGGUUUCUAAAUUAGAAUCAAAAUUAAUUUCUAAAAUUAGCGUUUAGAAAAGAAAAAUAGUUUCUAAAAACAUUUUUUCUUAUAGUGAUUUUACUAUUUGUUCAAUAAACUUACCUGCCUGAAUCCCUGAUCAACCACCCCUGGUGAAAAAGCAGCAACUAGGCUAACCUUCCCUUCACCAGGACAUGAGCCCAGUACCACGGCUGCUGGAUCUGUUAGUGUUUCCAGUAAAUAUUCUGCGGCACUUUUAAGUGAAUCAGCAUCAACAUCAUCGAAACACUCAACUAGUACCCUGCAAAUUUUCAACAAGAAAUAAAUAAAAACGAUACAUCUGCUUAAUGUUUAACAAAUUUUUAAAGAUAAUUUUUUGUCAAGUCCUACUAAUUAGUUUAACAACAUAAUGGAAUACUCAGUAAAAAAAACAAGAUAAGGAAAUAUAAAUACAAGGGACAUCCUUUCAACUUAAUUUCUAAUAAUUUCUGUAACAAUCAUAAAACUAUAUAUUCAAUGGACUACCAGUAAUGUGAUGCAAUCUGCUUCUUAAUUGUCAGAUUUGUUUGGUUUUGACGAUAAAAACUUCAAGUGAGAAAAGGUUGCAAAACUUCUAUAUCAAAGAAACAUCUUCAGGUAGCUAAAACUGAAGAGAUCUCUCUCCCCCAUUAUCAGGGCAACAUAUACCAUCACACGGAGAAACAUUACCUGUACUGUUUUGAAUUCCCCACCAACGAUGCUUUGCUCGCAAUAACGGAAGCUUAAAAGGGAUUUGUGAAAGGGGAAGGAUCAAGCUAGUUAAGUACUUCAUCGAGCGUACCCUGAAAGCCAAGGUCUUGCAAUUGAUACUCUACAACUCUUCACUGAGCCUAUGUAUUCAACCCCUUCAAAGGUAACUCUUUUUAAGACACCAACCACCAACUCUAAUACUAAUUUAUUCAUACCCAAGUAUUUGAGGAAUCCUUCCUUAGAAGCUAGUUGCUAAGGGGGCGAAUCAAACCACUUAAGUACUUCACCAAACAUCCUAUACUACUCGAUAUGAAAUUUAGGUAUUCCCUAAUAUCUAAGUCCUUAUUGAUAUUAACCGAGAAUUUCAGAAGUAUUAUUGACGUGAGUCCCACCACAUAGUUCCAUUGAUACACCGGAAAUCUCUACGACACGUACCUGCAGUACACCAAAUUUGAAGCCAAAAUAAGCUGCAUAAUACAUCAGCUUCAUAAAUACAAAUUCUUAAUCUUUUCCUUGAUUGAUGAGAAGAUCUGGAACAAAUAACUGUAAUCUAUCAUUGAAGUGAUGGGCAAAUAGGAUUAAACAUUAUUUUCAGUUUCAUUAACAGGAUAUUCUCCUAAUAGGAUUUACAGAACAAGUUUCUUACUGUGCUGUACAUGAUUUACUACUCUGGUCCAUGUGCAAGCGCAUGUCAGAAAUACAGGGAUAAUUACUAGUACAUCAGAAAUGACAAUUGUAAUUGGACGUAUUUCAAAUUUGCACUUUUUUUGGCAUGAGUAGCAAUCUAACAAUAGUAAAAAGGGAAUUUAAGUCAUAAGAAGUAUUGUUUUGAGCGUUAGUUGUAUUUUAAACCUUACCUGAAGUUCACCUACUUUUUUUUCUUUUUUUUUUAUCAGCAAAUAAUAGAAUUAAAUUAAAAAGAACAUCGAUGUUCCAACCCUUACACAAAAUCAUUCACCAUUUGUAGCUAUAAUCAUAUCUAAAUUAAGGCAACCAAACCAUAAAAAAAAUACAACAAACAGCUACCAAAGUGCCUCUAAAUUAUGCAGUAAGAACAUGGCAGCUAGUCCCAACAUCCUGUACCCCUGGAUCUACAUCAAACAUGUAAUUCCCUGACUUCUUUCCCUCUGCUGCAGCCCCAGAUACCUCCUACCCAUCCCUUGGCCCAUCUUGUUGGUAUUUCAAUGCAUACAAGCCCCCAAACUGUCUUCAACCGGGUUCUCUACACUACAUAAAACUAGCAUCCAGCGACACCCAGUUCAAACUUCACUUCAACCGGGUUCACCUACUUUGAAUACACAUGUCAUGAUAAACGUAGUCUACAAGCUUAGAACUACUAAAACAAAAGUAAUACAAUCGAACUUUGAAGGUCAAUACUACAAGUGUUUGAAGUAAAUCCUACCUCUUCUCCAUAUUUUUCUCCAAACAUUGCAAUAGCCCCAGCAGCACUUUUUGCAUCAGCCAGAGGCAUCACUUUGGUUUGAAGUAGUGUUGCAUCUUCAAUCCAUCCAAUGAUUAGCACUUCAAUUUCAGCAAGUUCAGUAUCAUGAAGUGGUCGGUGGAAGUUGAAAUCAAACCUGAGACGAUCAAAUGCCACCAGUGAACCAGCUUGUGAAGUCUCCUGACCAAUAACUUUUUUAAGGGCAGUUUGUAGUAGAUGAGUGAGUAGCAGUAUGAUGGACCUACAAAACCCAACUAUACUUAUUAUAAUUUGAACAACUUGUAAGUUUGAAAAUCUGAAAAUAUAUGACUAUAAACAAGCAAAUCAACAGUUCUUGCACCUUAGCUCGCUGCCUCAGCUUCAUAUCAACUGCUGCUUCCACUUCUUUGCCAACCUCUACAACACCCUUUUGGACUGUACCCUUGUGCACAAAUAUGUUGCCAAAUGAUUUCUGAACAUCUAUUAUCUCCACAACAGCUUUUAGUUGAUUAUCACCCUCUGAAAUAUAUAGAAAACCAUGAUCGCCAAAUUUGACCCCGAUUCAACAUAAAAUGGUCUUAUUCAGUAAAACUUUCACAUUACUCCCUUCACUGACCUGUACAGCUGGAUUUCCAUUCACCAUGAGGCUUUCUAUCAUUGCUUUACAAUGAAGUCUGUCAUAUCCAAUAAAUUCAGUGUCAGGUACAUUCUCUGCAAUAUUUUCCCCAUUUUCAAUGGCAAGUUUAAUAGUAUUGUGUGCAGCUUGAGAUUGACGCCUUUGCUUUUCCAUCUCAAUAUCAAAACCAUCCAUAUCAAUACUCACACCACGUUCUUCAGCCACUUCUUUUGUUAUUUCCAUUGGAUAUCCAUAAGUAUCAUACAACAGAAACACAUCUUCGCCAGCCAUGCAAGGAACAGUUCCAUUUCUUUCUGCACUUGAUAAGGCAUCAGCAAGUUUCUCCUCAAGCAACUUUUCUCUUCUCUCCAGUGUCUGCACAAACAGAAGCUCUUCUCUCUUCAGCUCCUCAAAAGAUACGUGGCGCUUUGUUCUUCACAUCAGCCUCAAUGUGUGUAUUUAAUUCCACAACCUUCUCAGCAAUAAUUGGUAAAAACGCUCCUUCAAGGUCUCCCCUAGAAUCACCCUUUUCCAGAAUACGUUUUUAGAUUUUUUUGUUGAGAAUGAAUUUUUUUUGUUGUGGAUUUUUUUUAUUAAGAAUGGAAUUUUGAAUAUAUUAUUUUUAAUUCUGGAUUUUUUUAUCAUUCUAUAUUUUUAUUUUGGAAACACAAUAAUCUCUUUCAUAUCUAAAUGUAUUAUUUUUAAUUCUAGAUUUUCAUCAUUUUUGGAAAUUUAAAACGGGGUUGAGUGGAGGUUAAAAAAGAUUGGAAGUAGGAAGAAUUUGUCUUUUAAUUUUUGGGAUUCAACUUCAAAUGUGUAUCUUUUCAGUUAUAUAGAUUUGUUAUAUUCUCAAAAUUUAUAAUUUAUUAUUAAUCUUUGUUCACCAGUUUUAUUUAUUCAGUAAUUAUUUAUUUAUUACUUGUCCAUGGCGGAUACAUACAAUCUUCUUCUUGGGGUUGAUUCAAAAGACAUAAUUACAUUGGAGAAAUAUUUGCAAGACUACUUCAGUAACAUAUUAAAGAAAUUGAAGGAUCUCAAGGCCCAGUCAAAGCAAACGGAUAUUUACUUCUGAAACAUUAUUUGUAAUAUAAAACCAGUUCAGGGAUGUAGAUAUCUAGAACUCUCUUUGACAUUUAUAUUUUUUUUUUCAAUUUUUUUCCGGUUGGUGUACCUAAGAAAGUUGAGGAUGUACCAUAAAAUUCAAACAUGUAUUUACGUAUCUUGAUAAAUAUAAAAGACAAUACUCUUUAUUAAUUUCCAAAUUAUCAUAUUUGCGUUGAACAGUAAAAAAUAUAACACAUUUUUGUAAACAUAUUAAUUUUAAAAAUUAUGAAAUAUUAGAUAGAAAUAUAUUUUAUAUGAAAGAACAAUUUAUUUAAAAAUAGACUUAGGUUGUUAAUGCAAAGUAUAAAAUAAUAAUAAUUAUAACAUGAUUAAUAAAAUUUAUACAUUUAUUUCUUUAUAAUGAAUGUUUUGUGUCAUACUUUAAUAUGUAAAUUAUAAUACGAUUUUUAAACUCUUAUUAUGUUUUGCUUUUGUGAAGACUAUUGAGAAAUUUUGAUUAUAUUGUUGUAGUUUGGAAGUGUUAAAUAGUUGUGGUUGUAAUCGUUGGUUGAUGGAAGAAAUGUUCAUGUUAGUUUACGAAAGUAGUUUGAAACUUAAGAACGCUAUGCUUGAUUGUAGUGUAAUUACACCUUCAACAAUUUUAAAUAAUUAUAAAAAUCUAUGUUUGAUUGUAGUCUGUGACACCUUGAACUUAAUAGGAAAUGAAUCUUUAAUGCUGAACAUGAAUUUUGAUUAAAUUGAAAAGGAAGAAAUAAUAUGAAAUAGUUUUAUUACUUGAUAUGUGAAUUGGUCAUAUGUAAAUAGAAUAGUAAUUAAAAAAAAAGAUAUAAAUGGAUGAUUAUCCUUGUUUGUGGCCUGCUCUUUAUAUGCAAGAUUAUCAUUUGGUUCUGGUUCGCUCUUCCUGGUCAUCACGCUUGGGAAGCCGCCGGGGUGGGCCCGCAGAAAGGUUUGGUAAUGGUGGGCCCCGUGUUUUAAGGAAUGAUAAAAAAUAUUUUUAUUAUAUAAUAUAAAAGUAGAAAUUUUAGAUAAUGAAAGAAGAUUUUAAUUGUAUACUCGUUGUUAAUGUAAUAUUUUUCUUUAAUAAAAUAAAAAAAAAGUUUAGAUGAAAAUUUGUGAAAUGAAUAAGAAAAAUGAUAGUUUGAAUUUUUUUGAAGUUGUAUAUAAUUAUUAAUGUAAUAAAUUUAAAAAUAAAUAUAUAUAAUUAUUUUUUUUAUAAUUAAAUAAUAUUAAAAUAUAUUAAAAUAAUAGUAUAAGAGUUGUAUAAAAAUUUGGUUUCUUAAUGUAUUAUUAUCCAAUCAAUAAUGAAGGUAAGGUGGAAGGAGAAGAAAAGUAAAACUAAGAUAAGUUAUGGUAAAGUAUGAGUAUAAAAGAGAGAGGUGAGGAAGGGAAAUGGAAAGAGAGAGAGAAAUGAAGAAGAAUAGGAUGAUGAUGAUGAUAUGGAGCGUAGGAGUGGUGUGGAUGCUGUUGUUGGUUGGAGGAAGCUACGGAGAGCAGUGUGGAAGGCAAGCAGGAGGUGCACUCUGCCCAGGGGGCAACUGUUGCAGCCAGUUCGGGUGGUGCGGCUCCACCACCGACUACUGCGGCCCGGGUUGCCAGAGCCAGUGCGGGGGACCGUCUCCUGCUCCUACUGAUCUCAGCGCCCUCAUAUCCAGGUCCACCUUCGACCAGAUGCUCAAACAUCGCAACGACGGAGCCUGCCCAGCCAAAGGCUUCUACACCUACGAUGCCUUCAUCGCCGCCGCCAAGGCUUACCCCAGCUUCGGAAACACCGGAGACACGGCCACUCGCAAGAGGGAGAUUGCGGCCUUCUUGGGGCAAACGUCUCACGAAACAACCGGGGGAUGGGCCACUGCGNNNNNNNNNNNNNNNNNNNNNNNNNNNNNNNNNNNNNNNNNNNNNNNNNNNNNNNNNNNNNNNNNNNNNNNNNNNNNNNNNNNNNNNNNNNNNNNNNNNNGCUUCGUGAGGGAGCGGAACCCCAGCACGUACUGCUCCGCCACUCCCCAGUUCCCCUGCGCCCCUGGGCAGCAGUACUACGGCAGGGGUCCCAUCCAGAUAUCCUGGAACUACAACUACGGUCAGUGCGGAAGGGCCAUUGGGGUUGACUUGCUCAACAAACCUGAUCUAGUCGCCACUGACUCUGUCAUCUCCUUCAAGUCCGCCCUCUGGUUCUGGAUGACCGCACAGUCCCCCAAGCCUUCCUCCCACGACGUCAUCACCUCUCGAUGGACCCCCUCCUCUGCCGACGUCGCCGCCCGCCGGCUUCCCGGCUACGGCACUGUGACGAACAUCAUCAACGGAGGCCUGGAGUGCGGGCGAGGACAGGACAGCAGGGUUCAAGACCGCAUCGGAUUCUUCAAGAGAUACUGUGAUCUGCUUGGAGUCGGUUAUGGCAACAACCUUGACUGCUACUCUCAGACUCCAUUUGGAAAUUCACUCUUACUCUCUGACCUUGUCACCUCUCAGUGACACUGUCAUCCCAUCAGAAUAAAUAAACUCAUAGAUCUGUGUUUCACUUUCUGAUCACAACUUUUCCAAUAACACUUUUCCCACCAUCUAUCAAUAAAUUCACUACUUCUAUAUACCAUAUGCACAUCAACACGCUACUCUUUUAUUAUUAUUAUUUUUUUCCAUUCAUCUACUUACAAAUAUUUUAGUUAUUAUAUAAUAAAAUGAUGAGUUAACUCAUCUCUAUAAAAUAGAUUUAUAAAAAUGUUCCGAUAAUAGAUGAUACGAUAGACUCAACAAACAUUUGUUAGGAUAAACUUUUAAACGACUUUGAUACAUAUUAAAAAGUUGAGUCAUAAAAUCAACUUAUGAAUUAAACGAUUUUGAUAAAACGGACUUUAAAAUCAACUUAUAAAAUAAGAUUUAUACUCAUUUAUAUAAAAUAAAAUAUCAUAUAUAAGAUCUCCAAAUAUUUCAUUUCAUUUUCAAUUAUAAAAAUUUAAGUAGAUUAAGUCAAAUUAAUUAUAUCAUAUUAAUAGUUUUACAAUGUAUUAAUUCAAAUUUAUUGUAUGGUAUGGAAGGAGACUCUGUCCAUGAAAACAUGACAGCAUGGAUCAAAUAUCGUAAUGAGCACGACAAGGCGAGGGAAGAUUCAACCUGCACUGGUAUAUGUUUCUAUCAACUGCAAGACUUCCAAGACCCGUAACUUUCCCACCCAAAAUAUUCAAUCUAACUAUUCUUUUUUUACUUUAUCUUUAAACUCAAUAUAUAUAUUAACUACUUUACACACAAUUUUAACAGUGUGUUUGAAUUUAAUGAUUUACUCUUUGUAAUUAAAGAUAUAAGGAGAAGAGAAAGUUUAGAAAUCUAUGCAUUGGAAAAUGUAAAACACAUAAAUCUGUACAACAGAGUAACAUUUUAAUGUUUGAAAAUUUGAGAUGAAAGUUUAGAUAAUCAAUAAUAAGUAAUAUUUAAUUAUUUUAAUAAUUAUAUUAUUAAUCUUUGAACUAAGAAUGGUAUUGCAUCGUCCACCUCACAAAUUUUUAUCCUUAAAUUUUAAUAUAUGUUUUUAUGUAAGUUAUUCUACUUUUUUAAAUGUUGAAAGUUAUAGUCAACUUCUUCAAGCUUUUAAAAAAAACACAUGAGCAAGCUAAUCGUUUGACUCUCUUAAACAAUCAAUUGAAAGGGUUGAAUAACUAACUUGAAAACAGAGUCAAGGCACUAGAAGAAGAGUUGGAGAAUUAAAAAACUGAUUUUGAAAAUCUAGAACACUGCAUUAAAAUUGAAUUAAUCUGUUUUACAUUCUGACUGUUGCAGAUUCUUUCCCCAAGCAGUUAUGGGUCAAAGUGAAAUUAUCAUGGGUCUGAUUUCGUUGAGAAGGGUGUUACUUUUGUCAUAAAUGGAAUAUAUUCCAUAAUUUCUUGAAAAAUUAAGAAUCUUUAUGACUAGUCAAAGUAUUCAUGUGCCACCAUGUGAAAUCUGCCACUGAGUGACGUUCCACUUUGUAACCUUGGACCAUGUUCUCUUUCUUGAAGACUGAAACCCACUAAAUGUCAAGGAUUGGAACUGUUUUAUGUGAAUAUAUAAACUCAUAUGCAGUUGUUUCUCUUCACAAAAACAACCCAUUGCCACAUCUCUUGUUGGUUUGAAAAUCUGCCCAAGAAUCUCAUUUUGCUUUUCUAUUUUUCUCUUUGUCUUCGUGGGACCCACACCCCCCUCAUCAAAGAGGAUCAAAACAAGGAUUGUAAGAAGGGGAGGACGCAUUGAGGCAUGGUUCUCGGAUGAAGAUGAAAAGAUCGAGAAAUAUCUUCAUGAAACAAGUAGGAAGACAAUAAACAAUCCAAAGCUUAUCUCUUUGACUUGGUUAAAGGAGCAGAAGCUAGGUGAGCUGAGAAUUCUUCUCAAAGAACAGAUGCUGAAGAGGUUCUUGGAGAUGUCAGGAAACACAUAUCCUGAUCUUAUAAGGGUAUUCUAUACCAACCUUCACUUUGUUGGAAAUAACCUUGUUUCUCAUGUAAAAGGGGUUGAUAUGGAGAUUACACAUGAAGUAUGGACUGCCAUCAUUGGAUUAACAAAGGGAACAUUGGUGUGGUGGAGGAAUUUAACAAAAUACAAUUUUACAAGAAUUGCUUGAAGAAUCCUCAAGCUAAAGUGAGUAUUUUUUCAGUGGGAGGUCUUAAGUUGAAUGAAAGGCUAAUUGUGACAUGGAUGCUCACACCUAGGGGGAGCAAUCAUUCUGUGCUUACUGAGGAGGAUCUUGUCUACAUGUAUUGUAUUAUGAGCAAAGUCAAGAUUAAUUGGAUCCACAUCAUCAAGGAACGCAUGCAGAAAUCAAUGAGGUUAAGUGAUUAUCACUAUCCAUAUGCUGUUUUGAUUUCUAAAUUCUUGAAUUAUUUUGAAGUGGACCUUGAGGAAGAACAAACUGAAGUUGUGAAAUCAUCUCUUGAAGUGAACAAUGGUUCACUUAGCAAGAUGGGUUUCACCAAGAUUAGUGGAAAAUGGGUAAGCAAAGAUGGUGAUCAAGGUGGUUCCUCAAGUGGUGUGCAAGCUCAACAAGAAGAGGAAGAUUUUGAUGUUGAAGGUGCUGGAGUUGAUGCUCAAGAAGAACAUGCUGCUGCUGAUAUAGGUGAUGGAACAAGUGCUGGAAAUCAAGGAGAAAAGAUUAUCUCAAUGUCUCAUUUUGAGAGGUUUAUGGUUAAUAGGAUGGACAACUUUGCUGAAAACCAAAGGAAUCUCCAUGAUUUUUGUGCUACAAAUUUUCAUAACUUUGAUGACAGAUUCCAAAGUAUGGAUACACGUUUCCAGAACCUUGAUGAACAAAUUUAAGUUGUUCAAAACCAACUAUUUGAGCUGCAGUACAGAAAGGAAGAUUGAAGCAAAGUUUUAGUUAUCUUUAUGCUUAUCUUGCUUUAAUUUUUGGACAUCACUUUCCUAAUUUUGUUUUUAUCUCUUCUUAAUUCUAUUUGUGAAGAAAAAUAGGGGAAGAAUAUGGUUUAUGUGUUGUCUUAAAACUGCUAUAACUCUGAUUGAAGUGUGUUUUAGUUUCUGUUGCAUAUGCUGGAUUGGUUUUGGUGCUGCAGUUUUGGUAGUUUUGGCAUUGUUUGUGGCUGGUUUUUCUACUCUUGUGGUUAUGCAGAAAACUAGUUAGUGUGCCAUCAUAACCUGCUAUUAAAGAUGCUUUGGGUUUGCAUAGUUUCUGUUUUACAGGUGUUGUUUCAAAUUCAAACAAGACUAACACAAGCAACCAGGGAUUUGUCUUCAUCAAAUAGGGAGAGAUUAUUUAUCAAGAGUGAUCAAGAGCUUUGAAGAAUCCAAAUCUAAGGUGUUUGAUGAAAGGAUGGAGUGGUUGUUGUGUGUGGGUGGGAUUUGGGUAAAUUAAAGUGUAAUCCACUCCAUUGUUGAAUCUAAAACUGAUGUGAAUUAAAACCUUUUUGAAAAUGGAUGUUUUUCUAACCAAGUGAAAUAAAACCUGUUGUUUUGUCGAAUCAACCAGUUGUUUUACUCUUAGAGGCUUUUGAAAAGGGUUGAAAGCUGUUUGACUUGGUUGACUUUGUUGUCAAACAAAUUCAAUCGGUUGUUUUGUGAUUUCAACCGAUUGUGUCUUUGAAAAUCCUAACAGAAUUCAAUUUUGAUUGGUGAAUCUGUCUUAAAUGAUUUCUAAUUGAAUACGCUUAUGCUUUAAAUGUUUUUGACCAACCUUUGGAAGUAUAUAUAGUUUGUUAUACGCUCCUGGAAGGUAAGAAACAAUUUUGAGAAUUCAGUUUGACAAAUUUGAUCUCAACUUUUCAAGAUUCACAUCAAGCUUUGGAUUUUCAAGUGAGAGUGGAAUAAGAUUGCAAUUGUAUACUUUUCAGUUGUGCUUUGAUCAGGUGUAAUCCUUUCUCAAUCUUCAGUAUUUCUGUAUUUGUGUUGCUGAGAGUGUUGUGUGUUCUUGAGGUGUUCAAGAUGUGGUUUGCCAAAGGUAGUGUGUUUCUUGAGGGGUUCAAUGUCACUACUUUGGUGUGUGGUGUUUGUAAUAUGGUUUUGAUUGCUUAGUGGAUUGUAGCUCUUGGUGUAAGAGUGAACCAAUAUAAAUAUGUUUGUGUGAUUCUCUCUUUUCCUGAUCUCACAUAUAUCUGUUUUAAGUUGUUUUUUAUUAACUGCUGAUAAAAACAAUCGAUUGAAUCGCAAAAACAACUGGUUGAUUUUCUGGACAUCAACUAAAACAGUUUUGUACUUUGCUUUCCUUAGUUUCUUUCUCUGUGAUUCUUCAUUGACUUUCAUUAUACCUUCAAAGUUUUCGAAAAUCUUUUAUAAACAAUUCACCUCCCCUCUUGUUUAAGGCCAUAUAUUCUAAAAGGAUUCUCCAAGGAGCAAAAUAAGAUAUCAGAAAAUUCAAAAGGCAGCUUUGGUUGUAGUGAUCACAACGAGAAGGUUGAUGUAUUAUUUUUAGAAUUUUGAGUUAUUGUGAAUUUUUUUUUGCCAAUUAAGCAGGUUUUACUAAAGGUAGAAUGAUGAAAUGGACAAUAGAGCUUUCAGAAUAUGAAUUGGUGUUUGAAAGUAGGGAUUUAAUACGACCUGAAGUUCUGAUACAAAACAAUAACAUUUUAAUGUUUGAAAAUUUGAGAUGAAAGUUUAGAUAAUCCAUAAUAAGUAAUAUUUAAUUAUUUUAAUAAUAUAUUAUUAAUCUUUGAACUAAGAAUGGUAUUGCAUCGUCCACCUCACAAAUUUUUACCCUUAAAUUUCAAUAUAUAUUUUUCAUUUAUAACCGUGUAUAAAAAAUUCUCCCAUUUUAUAUUUAUAUGUUUUAAUUAUAUUUUAAAAUAAAUUAUCAAAUUAUUAAAAACAACUGUUCAAACAUAUUUAAAUAACACAACACAUUAUAAACCAUCCACAUAUUUUUGUAAUUAUCCACUAUUUUUCUAUAUAAUUGUCAUUAUUAAUAUUGUUAUUUUUCUUAGAAUAUAUAAUUUCUCAUUGAUUUACAAUAGACGACAUGCAAAUGAGUACUAACAUUUUUUUAACACUUCAAAAUAAAAGUUUUGUAAACAUGAUUUAACAUUUAAGGUCAUGCAUUAUCUUCCCUUUCUAAAUGGAUAUUAUAGAGGUGAUGUUUAAUAAUUUCUUAUGAUUUGUUCCGGAACUUCUCGCAAUGAAAUUUAUUAUUAUGGAACAGCUAUAUAAAACAAUUUACAAUUUAAAAUGAAUGUUCUAAAAUGAUUUUUUGGUAGAUUACGGCAAGGUGUUUGAUGGAAAGCGACAUUGGAAGACUGAACAGGUUCUUGUUCAGAGCCGUUUUCCUUCUACGUGCUUUGUGGUGUUUAAAUAUCCCAACUCAUCCUCUUUUGUUAAGAAAAUAAUAAUGAUUAAAUUAUACGUAAUUAUUGUAUGCAAUAUUAUACGAUAUUGUAUCUAAUUAUAUGCAAUUAAUUUAAUAAUGAUAGAAUCUAUCUCAUAUGAUGAAUUGAUACUGCUAAUUAGAUUGUAAUUAUAUAUACAUAUAAAAGAAUAAAACAUCUUUAUUAGAGUACCGAGCACCGAUCUUGGUGUGCUCUUGGUGUAGCCUCUCCAUUUUUUAUCCGUUUAAAUAAGAAAUGUCUGGCAAAGAAGACACAGUAACGAGUCCGACAAAAACCUAGGCUUCACCGCCGAGCAAAUUCAACAAUUGGCUAACGAUAAAAGUGACACGUUUGUUAGCGCUGCAGGUCUGCUUGCCCAAAACUCGUCUAUUAAUUCUGCUUUUAGAAAACCAUGGAUUUUGGAUAGUGGAGCAACCAAUCAUUUUGCAUCUGAUUCACAAUUUUUCACACACACUUCAUCAUCAUUUAUUCCAAAUGUUAAUCUGCCCACAGGCUUAACUGCGCCCAUCUCAUCGAGCACAAUUAAAUUCAAUGACAAUAUCACUCACAAAGAUGUUCUUUGCGUUUUUUCUUUUAAUUUAAAUCUCAUAUCCGUUAGUAAGAUAACCAAUUCACUACAUUGUUGUGUCGUUUUUACUCCACAUGGUUGUGUUUUGUAGGACUUGGCUACGGGAGGAUGAUUGGCCCCUCUUCCAAACCAAGUCCACACAUCUCAAACCUGACCCUGAUUUAUGACACAAGCACCUCGAACAUCCUUCGUGUCUACAACUUGCAUCUUCCUUACUACCUAUUCUAUCACUAAAAAUCUCAUUCUCAUUCAUAAUAAUUGUAGUAUUUGUUCCAAAGCUAAACAGACAAGUUACCGUACUUGGUUAUUUCUUAUGAAUCACAAGUCUGAAACCCAAACAUCUCUUAGAAUCAUUCAUUACUUUUGCACAAAAUCAAUUUCAGGCAUCUAUUAAAACCAUUCGCGUUGACAAUGGAUUGGAAUUUAUUUCUAUGCGUAAUUUUUUUCUCAAAAAAGUAUUGAAUGUCAACGCACGUGUAUGUACACUCCUCAACAAAAUGUAGUAGAACACAAACAUAGACACAUACGAGCCCUCCUAUUUCAGUCUCAUUUACCAUUAGAAUUUUGGGAGAAUGCGUUUUAACUGCCACAUAUAUCAUUAAUCGCUUGCCAACACCCUUACUAAAAAAUAAAGGAUCGAGUCAAAUACAUAGCAUUUUCGGUUCGGACCCUAAGUCAAUGUAUACAGGAUCUACGGAAACCUCAUUGGAUGCCGCAAUUCGAGUUCUAAAGUAUAUCAUCGGGACAAGGAUUGCUAUUGCCAUCCGAAAACAAUCUAACAUUGACAGCUUAUUGCAACUCAGACUGGGGAGGUUGUCAGACAACUUGGAGAUAAGUAUCUGGGUAUUUCAUUUUUAGUUCUUCUAUUAUAUCAUGAAAGUCAAAAAAACAAACAAGAUCAUAAACGGAAGCAAAAUACCACGCGAUGGCCAAUACUUGUUUGGAGAUAGUUUGAUUGCGCGACAUUACAUAUAGUAUUUCAUGAACGCACAAAACACAUUGAGAUAGACUGCCACAUUGUCGUUUUGCUGUCAAAUUAAUAUGAUUCUAGCGUAGAUUUGUAUUGUCUAACACUAGAGAAAUGAUAGUAUAUAAUUGUGGUUAGAUGACCCUAAGUCGUCUCCCAACGAAUCCAAUAGUAAAAUUAGUAUAUCAGUGUUUAGAAUUUAUCUACAAGCAAUAAAAGUUAGUAACAACAAUAAUAAAAAAAAGGGGCUUAAGAUAGUUAUGCAGAAAAUAUAAAAGAGAUUGAAAUAGAAAAUAAAAAGCGGUUGAUCCCAAGUUUUUCCACCAUUGAAUUCUUCACAGGUUCUCUAAAGAUUAAUCCUUUCUCAAUCCUCCACCAGAGCUAAACCAGAUUGAACAUGCGUUGAUCUGAUUCAAGUGAAACUCACUAGUAAAACAUGCGUUUACUAGUUUAAUCAAUACCCACUUUGUUCCAUAUUAAACUCUCAAUCAUGCGUUCAAGUACAAGCUCUCACAAAAACUAGUUUUUCAGAAGAUUAGACAAUAAAAACAACUGUUAUAAAGAAUUGAAAAAUGAAACUUUUAUUGAAUAAAACCUCAAAACUCAAUGAGAAAUUACAAAAGAAUCAACAAAAAAGGUUUAGCCUUCCAUGGGGAGGCAAAACAAAAGAAUUACAAAGAAGAAAAGAAACUAAGAAACAAUUUCCAAUUAUAGACUUGAUACUUGUGUCCUUUUAUAGACUUUUCUGCUCCAAGGAUCUUGGGAAAAUAUUGUAGUUUAUAUUUUGUUAACCGUUUCCAAUUUUCCAUCUUUCCAAAAUUCUUGUAUUUUGCAGAAGAUUUGCUUCCAAUUCUGUUUCUGAUAUAUUGUAGAUUUUAUUUUCUCUUUUUUUUUCCUCAGAAUUUGUUUCUUGUUUUGGUUCAAGAAGUAACUUGGACUUUUGCAUAUUUGGCCCGUUCACAAAGGUAGAUGCUUCCUCCAGAUAAUUUACUCUAAAAACACAAAAUUAACAACAAUAAUAGUUAAGGCCUAAAUAAACCCAAUUAUAAGAAUAUUAAUUAAAACAAUGGAGUUAUUUAUUAUUAUAGUCCAAUAAUCUAUGAAUAAGGCUAGUGAGUGUGAAUAAAUAUAUGCGCAUCAGCGACAUUACAUAAAUGCACAUUCACCUACCAACUUGGAAUGAGUAUUAAGGAAAUAAUAAUUAUCAAAUUAUACGCAAUUAUUGUAUACAAUUAAUGUAAUAAUGAUAGAAUCUGAUGAGUGAAUCUGUCUAAUUAAAUUGUAAUUUGGAGAGAUUAGGUUUCACUACAUGAAGUUAUGUAAAUACAUAAGAAUAAAACAUUUUCUUUCUUUGUAAAUACAAUUUUCUUAUAUCUUUUCUUUCUGAAUCGGAUCCUCUUAUUCAAUCUUCAUGACGGGGUUGUAAAUGUGGUUCAGCUUCGGGAGGCCUCUUGGAGUCCGACAACAUUAAGCUAUUUUUUUUUUCUGACGUAGCGUUUCACCCACAACAGUUGGCAACUUUCUCAGCGGUGAAGUUGUUAGACGUAAAAUCAUUCAGGUACUUUCAUCAAACAGUUUUAUCUUUAACAAUAGUUGAUUUCAUCUCAGUUCAUAACACAAGUUGGUCUUUCCCAUCGCCAUCAAAAAGCUUCAGUCUAACAUCAUCCAGAGCAAUCAAGAUAGAAAGGAGUGAAUCCACCUGAUCGUCGUUCACUAUCAAAACUAUCUUUCGUGUAUAUAGUGUUUUGCAUUUACAUCCAAUCUGAGAUGCGCAUGCCAAAAUUUACCAGUUGGAUUGUGUGAACGCAUACCAUACCAAUUUGUGUCAGGAGAAUAAAGUCACACUAAUAACCAACAUUUUACUAGCUCUAUACUAUUUUGAAACUUCCAUUACAUGCCACUGGAAUUGCCAGAAUACUUUUUCUUCAGCUUCCGACCCUUUUAUCCUGUGAUUUGUGAUGUAUUUUCCAGACAGCGAAAAUCGAUAUAUUCUGUUGCUUUAGCAUAAAAGGAUUUGCUAAGCGUAUAAGAAUUCAAUUCCCUUUUUCACAUAGAGUAGCCAUGAGUUCUGACCGAGCCUUGUCGAGGGCACUUGACAUCCUUUCAACUUAAUUUCUAAUAAUUUCUGUAACAAUCAUAAAACUAUAUAUUCAAUGGACUACCAGUAAUGUGAUGCAAUCUGCUUCUUAAUUGUCAGAUUUGUUUGGUUUUGACGAUAAAAACUUCAAGUGAGAAAAGGUUGCAAAACUUCUAUAUCAAAGAAACAUCUUCAGGUAGCUAAAACUGAAGAGAUCCCUCUCCCCCAUUAUCAGGGCAACAUAUACCCUCACUCGGAGAAACAUUACCUGUACUGUUUUGAAUUCCCCACCAACAAUGCUUUGCUCGCAAUAACGGAAGCUUUGUAGACUUCUGCUUUUGCACGUACUGCAGAAUUUUCAUUUCUCACUGCCCGUAACUCCUCUAAAAGGUUUUCUACCCUUGUUGUCACUUCUUCUGGCUUAGCCUUCAUAAAGUGAUAUUAAUAUAUUAAUUAUAACACGUAAUUACAUGCAAAAUCAAUAUUGCCGAGAAGAACGUAUGCUCAAAAGUGCUUGAAAGAAAUGGUGCAAUAUGCUGAAAAUGACCAAGCCAACAACAGCCCUGGAAUUUUUUAUUUUACGAAAAUACUAAUUAAAAAGUAUACAAAUAAAGGAGUUGUAGAACGUAAACAUAGACACAUUUUAAACACAACACGAGCUCUCAUAUUUCAAUCCCAUUUACCAUUAGAAUUUUGGGGGAAUGCGUUUUAACCGCCACAUAUAUCAUUAAUCGCUUGCCAACACCAUUUCUAAAAAGUAAAUCACCUUUUGAGACGAUAUAUAAUCGUCCACCUUCACUCUCUCAGUUAAAAACUCUUUUGGUUGCCUAUGUUAUGCAACUGUUGUUUCACCCUAAGCAAAAAUCUUCAUUGGUUAUCCCCUCAAUAAAGAAGCAUACAAAUUAUUUGAUAUGGAUGCAGACACUUUUUUUACAAGUCGGGAUGUCAUCUUCCAUGAAAGUGUUUUCCCAUUCUGCCAACAGUUCCAGAUGCAAUCCUCACCUCCAUCACAAGGUAUUUUGCCCAUUAUUGACAUUGACUUACCCACUUCUGUCCAACAUUCACUCGAUCAAUCUUCUUCUCUUACUCAUCAGAAUGCACCUGAACCUCCACCAAAACCAACUUUCUUCUCCUACUCGUCACAAUACACCUGAACCUCCAUCAAACCAACCCUCUUCUUUUACUCGUCACAAUGCACCUGAACUUCCAUCAAACCAACCUUCUUCUCCUACUCGUCAUAACCUCUAGUAGACCAACCUUCUUCUCCCAUGCCAAGAAGUCUAGCACCCAUUACCAACUCAUUACCAACCCUUCUCCAACCGACCUUCCUGUUCGACGAUCUAGUCGCACAUCAACCCUACCUUCCUGGCUUCAAGACUACGUAACGGGAUCCCUAGCCAAUCAUUCCACCACUGCCCAAGACUGACCGAAUGGAACCAGGUAUCUAUGCAUAAUUUUCUUUCUAAUUCACGAUUUUCUUCUACACAUAGUGCAUAUCUUUCUAACAUCACAACCACCAAAGAACCUCACACUUAUGCUCAGGCUAUCCUUGAUCCAAAUUGUCAAAAAGCAAUGGACGAAGAGCUUUCUGCCUUGCAGCUAAAUCAAAUGUGAACCUUGACACCGUUACCCGCUGGGCAGAAACCCAUCAGAUGCAAAUGGGUCUAUAAAAUAAAGUACAACUCAGAUGGUAGCGUCGACAAAUAUAAGGCGCGCCUUGUCGCAAAGGGGUACACUCAUUUUGAAGGUGUCGACUAUUCUGAAACUUUCUCACCAACAACAAAAAAUUAACAACUUUCUCCUCACUAUUGCAGCAGCCAAAAAUUGGUUUACUCACCAGAUAGAUGUGCAAAAUGCCUUUUUACAUGACACAUUGCAUGAAAUUAUUUACAUGGACUUGUCACCCGAGCAUCAUCGACAGGGGAGAACAUUGUAUGUCGACUCAACAAAUCACUUUAUGGUCUCAAACAAGCAUCUCAGACAUGGUUUUCAACACAUGUGAUUAAAUCUGUAGAAUUUCAACAGUCCAUUACUCUCUAUUCACAAGACAGAAUAACUCAUCAUUUAUUGCCCUUUUGAUUUAUGUGGAUGAUAUUCUUUUGACAAGAAAUUAUUUUACAGAAAUUCAGUGUGUUAAAGAUUGUCUAUUACAACAAUUUCGCACUAAAGAUCUUGAAGACCUAAAAUAUUUUCUAAGGAUUGAAUUUUCACGUUCCAAGGCUGGUAUUUACAUGUCCCAAAGAAAAUAUGCGCUUGAUAUUUUGCAGGAUACGAGACUCACAGGUGCUCGUCCAGACAAAUUUCCAAUGGAACAAUACCUAAAACUCACACCAGACGAGGGAGAGUUAUUAAAUGAUAAAGUCAAAUACAGGCGACUCGUGGGACGACCGAUAUACCUCACGGUUAUUCGGCCUAACAUAGCAUUUUCGGUUCGGACCCUAAGUCAAUAUACACAGGAUCCACGGAAACCUCAUUGGGAUGCCGCAAUUCGAGUCCUAAAGUACAUCAAAGGAUCAUCAGGACAAGGAUUGUUAUUGCCAUUCGAAAACAAUCUGACAUUGACAGCUUAUUGCGACUCAGAUUGGGGAGGUUGUCAGACAACUCAGAGAUCAGUAUAUGGUUAUUGCAUUUUUCUUGGUUCUUCUAUUAUCUCAUGGAAUUAAAAAAAAAAAAGACAAACGUAUCAAGAUCAUCAGCGGAAGCAGAAUACCGCUUGAUGACCAAUACUUCUUUGGAGAUAGUUUGGUUGCGAUAUCUGUUGCAGGAUUUAAAGGUGCCAUGUAACUUGCGAGCUCAACUUUUCUGUGACAAUCAAGCCAUAUAACAGCAAACCCAGUAUUUCAUGAACACACAAAACACAUUGAGAUAGACUACCACAUUGUACGAGAAAAAUUACAAGUUGAGAUAAUCAGUCCUUCAUAGGUACUGACACGUAUCAACUCGCUGAUAUUUUUACGAAGACACUGGGCAAGGAACGGUUUUUGACGCUACGACACAAGUUGGGGUUCAUGAUCUUCACCUACCAACUUGAGGGGAGUAAUAAGAAAAUAAUAAUUAUUAAAUUAUAUGCAAUUAUUGUAUGCAAUAGUGUACGACAUUGUCCAUAAUUAUAUGCAAUUAAUUUAAUAAUGAUAGAAUCUCAUGAUUAGUAUCCCUACCUAAUUAGAUUGUAAUUUACCUCACCUCAUUGAGACACGAUUUUAUGGGGUUGAGUUAGGCUUAAAGUCCACUUCUUAAUAUGGUAUAAGAGCCAUUUCGAGCCUAUCCUAGCGAUUGUUUGUGUUGGGCCUAUAGUGUCACCCACUAUCGGGCCGCUAUCGGACCACUCAUAAUAUAUAGUCUCACGCACGAGUUGGCAGUCUCAGUGUGACGGGGGUGUGUUGGAGAUCCCAUAUUGACUAGUGAUUAGUGCCUUUCAUAGUAUAUAAGUGGGUGCAAACCUCACCUCAUUGAGCCGGUUUUAUAGAGUUGAGUUAGACUUAAAGUCCACUUCAGGCAUCGACAAAUUUCUCCUCAAGCAACUUUUCUCCUCUCUCCAGUGUCUGCACAAACCGAAGCUCUUCUCUCUUCAGCUCCUCAAAGAUACGUGGCGCUUUGUUCUUCACAUCAACCUCAAUGUGUGUACUUAAUUCCACAACCUUCUCAUCAAUAAUUGGUAAAAACGCUCCUUCAAGGUCUCCCCUACUAUCACCCUUUUCCAAAAUAUGUUUCCAGAUAUUUUUUGUCAGAAUGAAUUUUUUGUAUUGUGGACUUUUUUUUAUUCAAAAUGGACUUUUUCAGAAUGUAUUAUUUUUAAUUUUGGAUUUUCUUAUCUAGAAUGAGAUUUUGAUUUUUUUUCUGGUUUAUUAUUUUCGAAACAAAAUAAUCUCUUCCAUAUCUACUUUUUCAUAAUGUAUUAUUUUCAAUUCUGGAUUUUCAUUUUCACAAUGAACUGCAUUUUUGGAAAUUUAAAACUAUGUUGAGUGCAAGUUAAAAAAAUUGGGUGUAGGAAGAAUUUGUGUUUUAAUUUUUUGGAUUGAACUUCAAAUGUGUAUCUUUUCAGUUAUAUAGAUUUGUUAUAUUCUCAAAAUUUAUAAUUUAUUAUUAAUCUUUGUUCACCAGUUUUAUUUAUUCAGUAAUUAUUUAUUUAUUUUACUGGACAUUCACGAUUCAAUCAGAUAGCUAUGAACUAAACGUUCAUUAAGUUGUCUGUGAAACAAAUGGAAGGUUAUGUUAUAUCAUAGUAUCACCAAAAUAUAGUGAAUAAAUAGAAUUUAGUGUAUACAAAGCUUUUGCAUUUCCUCGAGGUGGUAAUAAGAUAUGCUUAAAUGGAAAAAUAAUAUGCAGGUCCUUAGCAGCGAUACUGUGUUUUCUGUUCCCAUGGCGGAUACAUACAAUCUUCUUGGGGUUGACUCAAAAGACAUAAUUACAUUGGAGAAGUAUUUGCAAGACUACUUCAGUAACAUAUUAAAGAAAUUGAAGGAUCUCAAGGCCCAGUCAAAGCAAACGGAUAUUUACUUCUGAAACAUUAUUUGUAAUAUAAAACCAGUUAAAAGAUGUAGAUAUUUAGAAGUCUCUUUGACAUUUAUAUAUUUUUUUUCAAUUUUUUUCCGGUUGGUUGGUGUACCUAAGAAAGUUGAGGAUUUACCAUAAAAUUCAAACAUGUAUUUACGUAUCUUGAUAAAUAUAAAAGACAAUACUCUUUAUUAAUUGCCAAAUUAUCAUAUUUGCGUUGAACAGUGAAAGUAAAAAGAAAAAAAAAUAUAACACAUUUUUGUAAACAUAUUAUUAUGAAAUAAUAGAUAGAAAUAUAGUUUAUAUGAAAGAACAAUUUAUUUAAAAAUAGACUUAGGUUGUUAAUGCAAAGUAUAAAAAAAAAAUUAUAACAUGAUUAAUAAAAUUUAUACAUUUAUUUCUUUAUAAUGAAUGCUUUGUGUCAUACUUUAAUAUGUAAAUUAUAAUACGAUUUUUAAACUCUUAUUAUGUUUUGCUUUUGUGAAGACUAUUGAGAAAUUUUGAUUAUAUUGUUGUAGUUUGGAAGUGUUAAAUAGUUGUGGUUGUAAUCGUUGGUUGAUGGAAGAAAUGAAUUUGAAACUUAAGAACGCUAUGCUUGAUUGUAGUGUAAUUACACCUUCAACAAUUUUAAAUAAUUAUAAAAUAUCUAUGUUUGAUUGUAGUCUAAUUACACUAUGACACCUUGAACUUAAUAGGAAAUGAAUUUUAGUGCUUAACAUGUAUUUUGAUUAAAUUGAAGAAGAAAGAAAUAAUAUGAAAUAGUUUUGUUACUUUAUAUGUGAAUUGAUCAUAUGUAAAUACAAUAGUAAUUAAAAAAAAGAAAUAAAUGAAUGAUUAUUUUUGUUUGUGGUCUGUUUUUUAACACUUUGUUUACUUUAGAGGUCAUACUGUUUUUGACGAUGGAUGUGUGGGUGCCACCCCGUUUAAGUGUUACAUGCGAGCGAGGGGAUGAUGGAGAGAAAGUAAAAAGGUUGAGGAAUCAUCUAAAAAAUAAAAGAUAGAGGAUAAAGUGAUGAAGAGAAAGUCACGUUACACAUGAAGUUAUCAUCCUAACCUUACAAAUGAAAUUAUCAUCCUAAUCUUCAUUUGAUUCUUCGAGGCUUCAUUUUAAAACUAUCUAAAUAAAUUAACUUAUGUAAUAAAAUUAAUUUAAAUUAAUAAAAUAGUAAAUAAAAAAAAUUAUACUUAAAAUUAAAAUUAAAUUUAAUUAUUUCUUUGAAUUUUACAUUAUUAUUUUUUAUUUAUAAAUAAAACUUUAAAUUAUUUUAAUUAACUAAAAUAUAAACAAAAUUAAUAAUUAUUUAUCCAUUUUUUUAUAUAAAAAAAAUAAAAUUUAUAAUUUUACUAUUUACAUUAUAAAAAAUAAUUUAAAAUACUCUUACAACUUUCACAUCAUCCACAUAUUUUAAUAAACUAACUUUCUUCUCUAAUUUAUAUCAAUCUACACAACUACAACUUAAUUUCGCUCCCCAACCCUUGAAUUUUCCACUCCCAAAUUCAAAAUGAUUAUCGCUUGGUUCUGGUUCACUGUGUUUGGUCGUGGUCUUCCAGUCUUCACGCUUGGGAAGCCGCCGGGGUGGGCCCGCAGAAAGGUUUGGCAAUGUUGGGACGGAAGCGGUGUUUUAAUAAAAUAAAAACAGUUUAGAUCAAAACUUGGGAAAUGAAUAAUGAGGGUGAGGUGGAAGGAGGAGAAAAGUAAAAUUAAGAAUAGUUAAUGUUGAAGAAAUUGAUUAUGAUGGUAAAGUAAGAGUAUAAAAGAGAGAGGGAAGGAAGGGAAACGGAAAGAGAGAAAGAGAAAGAGAAAUGAAGAAGAAUAGGAUGAUGAUUAUGAUAUGCAGUGUAGGAGUGGUGUGGAUGCUGUUAGUUGGAGGAAGCUACGGAGAGCAGUGUGGAAGGCAAGCAGGAGGUGCACUCUGCCCAGGGGGCAACUGUUGCAGCCAGUUCGGGUGGUGCGGCUCCACCACUGACUACUGCGGCAAGGAUUGCCAGAGCCAGUGCGGGGGACCGUCUCCUGCUCCUACUGAUCUCAGCGCCCUCAUAUCCAGGUCCACCUUCGACCAGGUGCUCAAACAUCGCAACGACGGAGCAUGCCCAGCCAAAGGCUUCUACACCUACGAUGCCUUCAUCGCCGCCGCCAAGGCUUACCCCAGCUUCGGAAACACCGGAGACACGGCCACUCGCAAGAGGGAGAUUGCGGCCUUCUUGGGGCAAACGUCUCACGAAACAACCGGGGGAUGGGCCACUGCGCCCGACGGACCAUACGCAUGGGGAUACUGCUUCGUGAGGGAGCGGAACCCCAGUGCGUACUGCUCCGCCACUCCCCAGUUCCCCUGCGCCCCUGGGCAGCAGUACUACGGCAGGGGUCCCAUCCAGAUAUCCUGGAACUACAACUAUGGUCAGUGCGGAAGGGCCAUUGGGGUUGACUUGCUCAACAAACCUGAUCUAGUCGCCACUGACUCUGUCAUCUCCUUCAAGUCCGCCCUCUGGUUCUGGAUGACCGCACAGUCCCCCAAACCUUCCUCCCACGACGUCAUCACCUCUCGAUGGACCCCCUCCUCUGCCGACGUCGCCGCCCGCCGGCUUCCCGGCUACGGCACUGUGACGAACAUCAUCAACGGAGGCCUGGAGUGCGGGCGAGGACAGGACAGCAGGGUUCAAGACCGCAUCGGAUUCUUCAAGAGAUACUGUGAUCUGCUUGGAGUUGGUUAUGGCAACAACCUUGACUGCUACUCUCAGACUCCAUUUGGAAAUUCACUCUUCCUCUCUGACCUUGUCACCUCUCAGUGACACUGCCAUCCCAUCAGAAUAAAUAAACUCAUAAAUCUGUGUUUCCCUUUCUGAUCACAACUUUCCAAUAACACUUUUCCCACCAUCUAUCAAUAAAUUCACUACUUCUAUAUACCAUAUGCACAUCAACAUGCUACUCUUUUAUUUUUUAUUAUUUUUUCAUUCAUCUGCAUACAAAUAUUUUAGUUAUUAUAUAAUAAAAUGAUGAGCUAACUCAUUUUCAUAAAAUAGAUUUAUG
rnacentral:lncRNA from 1 species